CGGGGUGCAGCAGGCGCGAAAACUUUGCAAUAAGCGAAAGCUUGACAGGGCUAUCCCGAGUGCCAUCCGCUGAGGAAGGCUUUUACCCAGUCUAGAACGCUGGGGGAAUAAGGAGAGGGCAAGUCUGGUGUCAGCCGCCGCGGUAAUACCAGCUCUCCGAGUGGUGUGGAUGUUUAUUGGGCCUAAAGCAUCCGUAGCUGGCUAAGUUAGUCCCCUGUUAAAUCCACCGAAUUAAUCGUUGGAUUGCGGGGGAUACUGCUUGGCUAGGGGACGAGAGAGGCAGACGGUAUUUCCGGGGUAGGGGUGAAAUCCUAUAAUCCCGGGAAGACCACCAGUGGCGAAGGCUGUCUGCUAGAACGCGCCCGACGGUGAGGGAUGAAAGCUGGGGGAGCGAACCGGAUUAGAUACCCGGGUAGUCCCAGCUGUAAACGAUGCAGACUAGGUGUUUGAACGGCCACGUGCCGUUCUAGUGCCGCAGGGAAGCUGUUAAGUCUGCCGCCUGGGGAGUACGAUCGCAAGAUUGAAACUUAAAGGAAUUGGCGGGGGAGCAC
rnacentral:rRNA from 1 species